AAGUCGUAACAAGGUUUCCGUAGGUGAACCUGCGGAAGGAUCAUUAAAGAGACUUGGGUCCUUUCAGGGCCCGACCUCCCACCCUUUGUCGUUCAAAAAACCCGUUGCUUUGGCGGGCCGGCCUCGGCCGACCCGUGGGCGUGAAAACCCGCGGGGCCAGCGCCCGCCAGAGGACCGCAAAAACUCUUCUGUAACCUUCCUUCUGAGCAAACGAUUUAAUCAAUCAAAACUUUCAACAACGGAUCUCUUGGUUCUG
rnacentral:misc_RNA from 1 species